CGUUCAGAGAUUGUCUCUGUCGUUACCCACAUCAGUGGAUACGGGAAAGCAAUCGUAGA
rnacentral:sRNA from 12 species